rnacentral:lncRNA from 1 species
GACCAUCAGCUUGCCUACCUGCACCUGCGAGCAUGAAUCAGGUCCCAUGAAAUAGGGCGUCAGUACGAAAAAUGUACUGAGUAUGUAAGGCAUGAAAAUUAGUAUGUAAAAGACAUAGAUGAAACAUGGCAUAAACAAAUCCAUCUGUAAAUCUGAAUAACUUUAUAAAUUCUGAAACAUUUAUAAUUUCAUGCACGUGCAUAUAAAUGUUGUCUCAUGCAUAGGUAUAGGUGGACAUAAUAUCAUCAAGCCUCUGAGGGCAUCUCAUCAUAUCGUCUCGGCUACUAUGGGCAACAUCAUCAACAUAUACCAACUAAUCAGGUGGUGGUGCGUAUAUAAUACCGUAACCUUUUUCCCAUAUCCCAUAUAAAUAUAAUAAACAUAUAUACCCGUAUAUAACGCCAUCCGGUCAUGGGUCAAUGUACAUGUAUAAAUGCAUGAAAUGCAUAAGAAAUAUGUUAAUAAGAUUUUCUCGUAAUGCCAUAAAACUCAAUAUGCCUUUUGGAUAAACUUUAUCAAAUACACAUUUUUUUGAGACCCAUAAACAGACGAUAGAAUAAUAACACAUAUGGGAAGAAUAUACUCAUCUCUAGCAUUUCUACGAAUAGAGUAAUUUAUGAAAGUUGUGCAUUUGCUCGUUUCGUUUGUGUCGUAUAGAUCAUGCCAAAAACAAAGAAGGGAUAACCUUAACAUACCUGAGUCGAUUCUCUUGAGAAAGAUUACACCGUACUCCCUUAAUAUUGCAAAAUCUCACAUUAAUUUGAAUUUUUGAAAGCUUGGGUGUAGCUUAUGUGAUAUGCAAUAUACAUUUGCAUAUUAGAAAUGCUUUAACGUGCUUUCUUUGUUAGAAAAUCUUGCUGGACUUGAAGCGAAAUUUCCCUAAAUCUUGAUAAACCCUUUCAGAAGAGGUGUAGGGAAUGAUUUCAAUAUUUUGAGAUUGUUAUUCUUAUUUAGGUGGGCCCCUCAUUGAAAGCUUGGUGUCACUUUAAGGUGUGACAUCUUAUCCAUAUUUAUUAUUAGUCAUUUAGAGAGUUUAGGCAAGCUUACCACAUUGGGGUUGGGGGGGGGGGGGGGUAACGUUUUUCCUUCAAAUUUUUUAUUAAACAGGGAAAGUUUUUUUAGCCCGGAAUUAAAUAAUUACCACCGUAUAAUUAAAAAUAAUCUCAAAUUACCUAAAAAUACUACUCAUUUUUAAUAUACUUUAUACAUCAUACUAUCACAGUCAUAUGGUACCUUGUAUGGUACUAGUCCAUAAAUAUCGAGUAUUAUCGCUCGACCUGUAUUUUAUCCCAAAUCGGCAACCUUUAAUGAAGCUCAUUUUCUUUGAUUCGUGUACCCUUUAUCCUUCAUGUCACUUACUUAUCGCUUGUUUUAAAUAGCAUAAAUACGUUAACCUCAAGAUAAUCUUAUCCCCGAGUCUAUGUCGAUUAACUGAAGACGAAACUUUAACGUAUGAAAUGCGACAUGUAACAUCCUUCCCCCCUUAGAAACAUUCAUCCUCGAAUGUUCAACUCCCCGGGAUCUAUAUAACUUUGGUAGAGUCGCCUUUCUAACAAUUCUACUACCAACUCUUCCUGUGGAAACUCAAGAAUUCAACGCCACAUAGGACCACAAUCAUCAAUAACGACAAUGGCCUCACAUGACCAAUGACAAUAACCAACACAAGAAUUCAUACAAGUACCUUAAGGUUGUGAUGUCUCAGUCAGACCAUUCUCUGGAGGAGGAAAUAAGUAAGGAUAUCUAGACUUUAUGUCUUCUUCGCCCUCCCAAGUUAUUUCUUCCAUAUUGUUUUUUCUCUAAAGCACUUUCACCGAAGCUACGUCUUUAGUUCUCAAUCUCCGAACCUGUCUGUCUAGUAUAGCAAUGGGAGUUUCUUCAUAUGAUAGCUGCUCUGUGACCUGAACAUCGUCAACAACACAAUUCUGGAAGGAUCUCCGAUACAUUUAUAGAGCAUAGACACAUGAAAUACUAGAUGUACAGACUCCAAGUCCGAAGGCAAGUCCAACUCAUAUGCUACCUGGCCUACCUUGCUAUGAUCCUAUAUGGUCCAAUGUACCGAGGCUAAGUUUUCCUUUUCUUCCGAACCCCAUAACGCCUUUCAUCGGUGAUGCUUUUAGGAAUACCGAAUCGUCAACCUGAAAUUCCAAGUCUCGCCGUUGAUUAUCUGCAUAAGACUUCUGACGGCUUUGAGCUACUAAUAGCCUUUCCUGCAUAAGCUUAUCUUUCUCGAUUGCCUGUUGUACCAAUUAUGGUCCUACUAACGUAGUUUUCCCAACAUCAAACCACCCUAUAGGCGGCCUACACUUUAGUCCGUAAAGAGCUUCGUAUAGAGCCGUUUGAAUACUAGAAUGGUAGUUAUUAUUAUAUGCGAAUUCAAUAAGCGGUAGAUGAUCAUCCCAAUUACCUUUGAAGUCUAUCACACAAGCUCAUAACAUAUCCUCAAGUGUCUGAAUAGUACGCCCAGCCUUUUCGUCUGUUUGGGGAUGAAAUGUUGCACUAAGACUUACCUGAGUCCCCAAUCUAUUUUGGAAGGACCUCCAGAAAUUAGCUGUAAAUUGAGCCCCUCUAUUCGUGAUAAUAGAUAUAGGGACACCAUGCAGUCAUACUAUCUCCUUAAUAUAAAGCCUUGCAUAAUCCUGUUGCGGAAUAUAUAGUCCUAAUAGGCAGAAAAUGGGCUGACUUUGUAAGCCUNNNNNNNNNNNNNNNNNNNNNNNNNGCAACAAACUACGCUAUUUCCUUUUUCAUUCCGUACCACCAAUAUAUUUUCCUAAUAUCAUGAUACAUCUUUGUCGCUCCUGGAUGGAUAGAAUAACGAGAAUAGUUAGUUUCUCCCAUAACCUGCCGACGCAGCCUGCAAUAUUAGGGACACAUAAUCGUCCUCGAUAUCUAAGGACUCCAUCUUCUAUAAUCUCAAAUGGUGUCUUUUCUUUUUGAGAGGUGGUAUCCCUAUAAUGAACUAACACGGGAUCAUCAUACUAACGUUCCUUCACUUCAAUUACUAACGAGGAUGUUGUUGUAUCCUGAAUAGUAAUUCCAAUAUCACCUGAGUCUAGUAACCGAACACCAAGACUAGCUAGCUGAUGAAUCUCAUGGGCUAUUCCCCUCUUCUCUGGCUGUAAAUAUGACAGGCUACCCAUCGAUCUACGGCUGAGGGCAUCGGCUACCACGUUCGCCUUCCCCGGAUGGUAUAAAAUAUCAACACAAUAGUCUUUAAGUAGCUUCAACCAUCUUCUUUAACGUAAAUUCAAUUCCUUUUGCCUGAAGAUAUACUGGAGGCUCUUACGAUCAGUAUAGACAUCAACAUGAAUGCCAUAAAAGUAGUGCCUCCAUAUCUUUAAUGCAUAAAUCAUUGCGGCUAACUCUAAAUUGUGGGUCGGGUAAUUCUUCUCACGCAUUCUUAGUUGUCUAGAAGCAUAACCUACAACCUUACCAUGCUGCAUCAACACACAACCCAGCCCAAUGCCUGAAGUGCCAUAAUAGAUAAUGUAACCAUCGGUCCCUUUUGGGAGCAUUAGAACCGAUGCUGAAGUUAAUAUAUCCUUCAAUGCUUGGAAACUUAAUUCACAAGCGUUAGUCCAUUGAAACUUUGCUCCUUUCUGAGUCAACUUGUUCAAAGGUGCUGAAAGGGCAGAAAAUACCUCUACAAAUCUCUUGUAAUAGCCUGCCAAAUCGAGAAAGCUACGAACCUCCGUCGGUGUUGUGGGUCUAGGCUAAGUCUUUAUUGCCUUAAUCUUUUGUGUAUCCACCUGGAUGCUUUCACCCGAAAUGAUAUGCCCAAGUAAAGCUACAGAGUUCAGCCAGAAUUCACAUUUAGAGAAUUUUACAUACAACUUUCCUUUAUGUAGAACUCUGAGCACAGUAUGCAGAUGAUCUUCAUGCUCAGCCUCUAAAUGAUAAUACACCAAUAUAUUGUCGAUGAAUACAAUUACGAACAGAACGACAUAACACGAAACUCAAAAUGCCUGUAUCUGGUCCUGAAUGCUGUCUUCGGAAUAUCUUCCUCCAUAACCCAAACUUGAUGGUAUCCAAACCUCAAGUCUGUCUUUGAAAAACACUUGGCACUUUGCAACUGAUCAAAUAAAUCAUCAAUCCUCAGGAGUGGGUACUUAUUCUUGAUCGUCACCUUAUUCAACUGUCUAUAAUCAAUACAUAUCCGUAAGGAACCAUCUUUCUUCCUUACAAAUAACACAGGCGCCCCCCAUAGUGAUGUACUAGGUCUGAUAAAGCCUUUUUCAAGUAAGUCCUUUAGUUGUUCCUUCAACUCUUUCAACUCUGUGGGGGCCAUUCUAUAGGGUGGAAUAGAUAUUGGAUGAGUAUCUGGUAGUAGGUCAAUAGAAAAUGCAAUUUCUUACUCUGGCGGAAGACAAAUAAGUUAAUCAGGAAAACAUUGGGAAACUCAUUAACCACAAAGAUGGACCGAAUGGUUGGUGACUCUACUUCCAUAUCCUAAACCAGAACUAAGUUAUNNNNNNNNNNNNNNNNNNNNNNNNNNNNNNNNNNNNNNNNNNNNNNNNNNNNNNNNNNNNNNNNNNNNNNNNNNNNNNNNNNNNNNNNNNNNNNNNNNNNNNNNNNNNNNNNNNNNNNNNNNNNNNNNNNNNNNNNNNNNNNNNNNNNNNNNNNNNNNNNNNNNNNNNNNNNNNNNNNNNNNNNNNNNNNNNNNNNNNNNNNNNNNNNNNNNNNNNNNNNNNNNNNNNNNNNNNNNNNNNNNNNNNNNNNNNNNNNNNNNNNNNNNNNNNNNNNNNNNNNNNNNNNNNNNNNNNNNNNNNNNNNNNNNNNNNNNNNNNNNNNNNNNNNNNNNNNNNNNNNNNNNNNNNNNNNNNNNNNNNNNNNNNNNNNNNNNNNNNNNNNNNNNNNNNNNNNNNNNNNNNNNNNNNNNNNNNNNNNNNNNNNNNNNNNNNNNNNNNNNNNNNNNNNNNNNNNNNNNNNNNNNNNNNNNNNNNNNNNNNNNNNNNNNNNNNNNNNNNNNNNNNNNNNNNNNNNNNNNNNNNNNNNNNNNNNNNNNNNNNNNNNNNNNNNNNNNNNNNNNNNNNNNNNNNNNNNNNNNNNNNNNNNNNNNNNNNNNNNNNNNNNNNNNNNNNNNNNNNNNNNNNNNNNNNNNNNNNNNNNNNNNNNNNNNNNNNNNNNNNNNNNNNNNNNNNNNNNNNNNNNNNNNNNNNNNNNNNNNNNNNNNNNNNNNNNNNNNNNNNNNNNNNNNNNNNNNNNNNNNNNNNNNNNNNNNNNNNNNNNNNNNNNNNNNNNNNNNNNNNNNNNNNNNNNNNNNNNNNNNNNNNNNNNNNNNNNNNNNNNAAGGAACCAUCUUUCUUCCUUACAAAUAACACAGGCCGCCCCCCAUAGUGAUGUACUAGGUCUGAUAAAGCCUUUUUCAAGUAAGUCCUUUAGUUGUUCCUUCAACUCUUUCAACUCUGUGGGGGCCAUUCUAUAGGGUGGAAUAGAUAUUGGAUGAGUAUCUGGUAGUAGGUCAAUAGAAAAUGCAAUUUCUUACUCUGGCGGAAGACAAAUAAGUUAAUCAGGAAAAACAUUGGGAAACUCAUUAACCACAAAGAUGGACCGAAUGGUUGGUGACUCUACUUCCAUAUCCUAAACCAGAACUAAGUUAUAAAUACAGCCAUUUCUGAUCAUCUUCUUUGCCUUCAGAUAAGAAAUAAAUAUACCUCUCGGCGACGCCGUAUUACCUUUCCACUCCAAAACAGGCUCCUCUGGAAAUUGAAACCGAACUAUCUUUCAUCUACAAUUAAUGUUGGCAUGACAAGAAGCCAACUAAUCCAUACCCAUUAUAACAUCAAAUUCUACCAGAUCUAACUCGAUUAGGUCCGCUAUGGUAGAUCGAUUAUGAAUUACUAUUAUACAACCCCUAUAUACUCGCUUAGCUAUCAUAGAGUCUCCAAUAGGUGUAGACACCUCAAAAGGAUUAACCAAUUCAGGUUUUAUUCCAAACUUAUUAGCAACCAACGGAGUAACAUAUGAUAAGGUGGAACCUUGGCCAAUCAGUGCAUAUACAUCAUAUGAGGAGAUAGAUAAUAUACAUGUAACAACAUUAGGCGAUGACUCCUAGUCCUGUCGUCCUGCCAAUGCAUAAAUGCGGUUCUUAGGACUGCUCGAGCUAGAUGCUCCGCCUCUACCUCUACCAUGACUCAUUAUUGCUUGUGGACCUUUCCCAAGGGGGCGUACUGAUGAUGAAGAACCAGCUACAGAUCCCGCUGGCUGAGCUAUACUUGCAUAACCUCUCGUUGGACAAUCCCUCAUAACAUGGCCCGGAUAACCACAAGUAUAACAAACACCCAACCUCAUACAACACUGUACGACAUGCUGCUUACAACACUGAGCACAUCGUGGAAAGGGCAGCCUCAUCUGACUUGACUCACCCCUAUACUGAGAACCUGAGGCAUUGAAAUUCUGAACAGACACUGAAUAUGUAGAACGAUCAAAUCUCUUACCGCCAAACAAAUGGGGCACACUAGCCAAUGGCUGGGCUAGAUACCUCGGGUACUGUUGCCUCUGACCACCUCAAAACUCACCAGAAGGACCCAAAGACCUUGCUAAUCUUAUUCUGGGCCCUAUCGUGCUCACGAUCCAUCCUCUGUUUUUGCUUACGCUCCUCUAAACCCUGAGCUUAUGCCUGAAUACGAGAAAUAUCCAUGUCUGGCUGAAGUGAGACCGACAUACAAUCAUUGAACAAGUGCAACUCUAAUCCCAUCACGAACUGGUGAACCCUAUCCUCCAUCUUAGAUACAAUAGUGGGAGCAUACCUAGACAAUGAAUCAAAUUGAAGUAUGUACUCCCGAACACUCAUGUUACCCUGCUGAAGGGUCAAGAACCUAUCAACUCUGGCCCACCUAAGCUCUAGUGGAAGAUAAUGAUGAAGAAAAUCUUCAGUAAACUCCUGCCAUACUGCUGGAGGGACGUCCUCACCUUUGGACAAUUCCCAAGACUCGUACCAAUUAAUUGCAACAUCUCGAAGUCUAUAGGAAGCUAGCUCAACUGACUCAGUCGCAGUGGCCUUCAUUACCCUUAACGUCUUCUGCAUUCUAUCAAUAAAUACCUGAAGGUCUUCAUUUGGAUCUACCCCAGUGAAUACCGGAGGGUCCAAAUUAAUGAAAUCACGAACCCUCGCACUGAUGGACCUAUCCGCAUGACCAAUACCUACUUCCUGAUGUUGAGCCUAUGCGGCUACUAAUUGAGUUUUUAACUGAAUAACAUCUCUCAUCUCCUGACCCGGUGCAUCUGGAUGAGGAGAUGGACGUACAGGGGCCGCGCUGGAGCUAGUUCCCUGGAACUCUUAUGGAAAUGGCGGGGUAUGUGAAGUCUGAGAUGGAAUCUCACUAUGAGACUCUCCCCGAGCCCUGGUAACUCGUGGCGCUCGACUAGUAGUCUUGCCAGCCAUGGACUUUCCCUUCUGGGCGGCUAUAGUCUUCGAAGGCAUCGCUAAAAAUAUAACAUAUUGUUAGGAACACGAAUUCNNNNNNNNNNNNNNNNNNNNNNNNCCACGUUGGGGGGUGGGGGUGGGGUUAAUCAUUAUCCUCUAUAUUUAUUAAUUAACUAUGUAAUAUUCCGUUACCCGGUAAUUAACCAAUUACCCGUAUAAUUAAGAAUUAUCUUAAAUUACCUAAAAAUACUACUCAUUUUUAAUAUACUUUAUACAUCAUACUAUCACGGUCAUAUGGUGUGUUUUAUGGUACUAGUCCAUAAAUAUCGAGUAUUGUCGCUCGACCCGUAUUUUAUUCCAAAUUGGAAACCUUCAACAAAACUUGUUUUUUUAUUCGUGUACACUUUAUCCUUCGUGGCACUUACUUAUCGCUUAUUAUAAAUAACAUAAAUACGUUAACCUCAUGAUAAUCUUAUCCCCGAGUCUAUGUCGAUUAACUGAAGAUGAAACUUUAACGUACGAAUUGCGAGAUGUAACAUCCUUCCCCCAUUAGAAACAUUCAUUCUCGAAUGUUCAACUCCCCGGGAUCUGUAUAACUUCGGCCUCCCAAGUCAUUUCUCCCCCCUUAGAAACAUUGUUUCUCCAAAGUACUUUCACCGAAGCUAUGUCUUUAGUUCUCAAUCUCCAAACCUGUCUGUCUAGUAUAGCAAUGGGAGUUUCUUCAUAUGAUAGCUGCUAUGUGACCUGAACGUUGUCAACUGACACAAUUUUGGAAGGAUCUCUGAUACAUUUACGGAGCAUAUACACAUGAAAGACUGGAUGUACAUACUCCAAGUCCGAAGGCAAGUCCGACUCAUAUGCUACCUGGCCUACCUUGCGUAUGAUCCUAUAUGGUCCAAUGUACCGAGGCUAAGUUUUCCUUUUCUUCCGAACCUCAUAACACCUUUCAUCGGUGAUGCCUUUAGGAAUACCGAAUCAUCAACCUAAAAUUCCAAGUCUCGCCGGUGAUUACCCGCAUAAGACUUCUGACGGCUUUGAGAUGCUAAUAGCCUUUCCUGUAUAAGCUUAACUUUCUUGAUUGCCUCCUGUACAAAUUCUGGUCCUACUAAUGUAGUUUCCCUAACAUCGAACCACUCUAUAGGUGACCUACACUUCAGUUUGUAAAGAGCUUCGUAUGGAGCCAUCUGAAUACUGGAAUGGUAGCUAUUAUUAUAUGCGAGUUCAAUAAGCAGCAAAUGAUCAUCCCAGCUACCUUUGAAGUCUAUCACACAAGCUCGUAACAUAUCCUCAAGUGUCUGAAUAGUACGCUCAGCCUGUCCGUCUGUCUGGGGAUGAAAUGUUGUACAAAGACUUACCUGAGUCCCCAAUCCUUUUUGGAAAGACCUCCAAAAGCUAGCUAUAAAUUGAGUUCCUCUAUCAGAGAUAAUAGAUAAAGGGACACCAUGCAUUCAUACUUUAUCCUUAAUAUAAAGCCUUGCAUAAUCCUGUUGUGGAAUAUGUAGUCUAAUGGGCAGAAAAUGGGUUGACUGUGUAAGCCCAUCAAUAACCACCCAUAUCGAAUCGAACGUACACUGGGUACGAGGCAAGCUUUUGUUGAAAUCCAUAUCAAUUACUUCCUAUUUCCAAGUCGAAAUCUCCAUAGCCUGCAUUAAUCCACCGGGUUUCUAAUCUCAAUCUCAACUUGCUGACAGUUAGGACACUGAGCAAAAAACUACGCUAUAUACUUUUUCAUUCCGUCCCAUCAAUAUACUUCCUUGAUAUCAUGAUACAUCUUUGUUGCUCCUGGAUGGAUAGAAUAAUGAGAGUACUGACUCCCAUAACCUGCCAACGCAGCCCUGCAACAUUAGGGACACAUAAUCAUCCUCGAUAUCUGAGGACGCCAUAUUCUGUAAUCUCAAACAGUGUCUUUUCUUUCUAAGAGUUGGUAUUCCUAUGAUGAACUGACACUGGAUCCUCGUAUUGACGUUCAUUCACUUCAGUUACUAAUGAGGAUGUUGUUGUAUCCUGAAUAGUAAUUCCAAUAUCACCUGAGUCUAGUUACCGAACUCCAAGACUAGCUAGCUGAUGAAUCUCAUAGGCUAUUCCCCUCUUCUCUGGCUAUAAAUAUGAUAGGCUACCCAUCGAUCUACGGUUGAGGGUGUCGGCUACCACGUUCGCCUUCCCCGGUGGUAUAAAAUAUCAACAUCAUAGUCUUUAAGUAGCUCCAACCAUCUUCUUUGAUGUAAAUUCAAUUCCUUUUGACUGAAGAUAUACCAGAGGCUCUUAUGAUCCGUAUAGACAUCAACAUGAAUGCCAUAUAAGUAGUGCAUCCACAUCUUUAGUGCAUGAAUCACUGCGGCUAACUCUAAAUCGUGGCUCGGGUAAUUCUUCUCGUGCUUUCUUAGUUGUCUAGAAGAAUAAGCUACAACCUUACCAUGCUACAUUAGCACACAACCCAGCCCAAUGCCUGAAGCGUCACAAUAGAUAACGUAACCAUCGGUCCCUUCUGGGAGCGUUAGAACUAGUGCUGAAGUUAAUCUGUCCUUCAAUGCCUGGAAACUUCGUUCACAAGCGUCAGUCCAUUGAAACUUUGCUCCCUUCUGAGUCAACUUCGUCAAAGGUGAUGAAAGGGAAGAAAAUCCCUCUACAAAUCUCUUAUAAUAGCCUGCCAAAUCGAGAAAGCUACGAACCUCCAUCGGUGUUGUGGGUCUAGGCCAAGUCUUUACUUCCUCAAUCUUUUGUGUUUCCACCCGGAUGCCUUCACGUGAAAUGAUAUGCCCAAGGAAAGUUACAGAGUUCAACUAGAAUUCACAUUUAGAGAAUUUUGCAUACAACUUCCCUUUAUGUAGAACUCUGAGAACAGUACGCAGAUGAUCUACAUGCUCAGCCUCUGAAUGAGAAUACACCAAUAUAUCAUCGAUAAAUACAAUUACGAACAGAUCUAAAAAGGGCCUGAACACAGGGUUUAUCAAAUCCAUGAAUACUGCUGGGGCAUUGGUUAAACCGAAUGUCAUAACACGAAACUCCUAAUGCCCGUAGCUGGUCCUGAAUGUUGUCUUCGGAAUAUCUUCCUCCUUAACCCUUACCUGAUGGUAUCCAGACCUCAAGUCUAUAUUUGAAAAAUACUUGGCACCUUGCAACUGAUCAAAUAAAUCAUCAAUCCUCGAGAGCGGGUACUAAUUCUUGAUCGUCACCUUAUUCAACUAUCUAUAAUCAAUACACAUCCGUAAGGAACCAUCUUUCUUACUUACAAAUAACACAGGCGCUCCCCACGGUGAUGCAAUAGGUCUGAUAAAGCAUUUUUCAAGUAAGUCCUUUAGUUGUUCCUUUAACUCUUUCAUCUCUGUGGGGGCCAUUCUAUAGGGAGGAAUAAAUAUUGGAUAAGUAUCUGGUAGUAGGUCAAUAGCAAACUCAAUUUCUAGCUCUGGCGGAAGACCCAGAAGUUCAUUAGGAAAAACAUCGGGAAACUCAUUAACCACAGGGAUGGACCGAAUGGUUGGUGACUCUACUUCCAUAUCCUGAAGUCGAACUAAGUGAUAAAUACAGCCCUUUCUGAUCAUCUUCCUUGCCUUGAUAUAGGAAAUAAAUCUACCUCUCGGCGACACCGUAUUACCUUUCCACUCCAAAACAGGCUCCCCUAGAAAUUGAAAUCGGACUAACUUUGAUCUACAAUCAACUUUGGCAUGACAAGAAGCCAACCAAUCCAUACCCAUUAUAAUAUCAAUUCUACUAUAUCUAACUCAAUUAGGUCUGCUAUGGUAGAUCGUUUAGGAAUUACUAUUAUACAACCCCUAUAUACUCGCUUAGCUAUCACUGAGUCCCCAAAAGGUGUAGACACUUCAAAAGGAUUAACCAAUUUAGGUUUUAUUCCAACAUUACUAACAACCAAUGGAGUAACAUAUGAUAUGGUGGAACCUGGGUCAAUGAGUGCAUAUACAUCAUAUGAGGAUACUGAUAAUAUACCUGUAACAACAUCAGGCGAUGACUUCUGCUCCUGUCGUCCUGCCAAUGCAUAAAUACAAUUCUGAGGACUGCUCGAGCUAGAUGAUCCGCGUCUGCCUCUACCAUGACUCAUUGGUGCUUGUGGACCUUGCCUAAGGGGGCGUACUGAUGAUGAAGAACCAUCUAUAGAUCCCACUGGCUGAGCUAUGCUUGCAUCACCUCUCGUCAGACAAUCCCUCAUAUCGUGGCCCGAAUAACCACAAGUAUAACAAACACCCAACCCCAUAUAGCACUGCACGACAUACUUCUUACCAUACUAAGUACAUCGUGGCAAGGGCGGCCUCAUCUAACUUGACUCACCCCUAUACUGAGAAUUGAGGCCCUAAAAUUUUUACCAGACCCUGAAUAUGUGGAACGAUCAAAUCUCUUACCGCCAAAUUGAAGGGGCAUGCUAGCCAAUGGGUGGGCUGUAUACCUCAGUUACUGUUGCCUCUGACCAUCUCGAAACUCACCAGAAAUACCCGAAGACCUCGCUCUCUUAUUAUGGGCCCUAUCAAGCACACGAUCCAUCCUAUGGUUUUGCUUACGCCCUUUAUACCCUGAGCGUAUGCCUGAAUACGAGAAAUAUCCAUGUUCGGCUGAAGUGAGACCAACAUACAUUCGUUAAACAUGUGUGACUCUAAUCCCAUCACGAACCGGUGAACCUGAUCCUCCGUCUUAGAUACAAUAGUGUGAGCAUACCUAGACAAUGAAUCAAACUAAAGACUAUACUCCCGAACACUCAUGUUACCCUGUCGAAGGGUCAAGAACCUAUCAACUCUGGCCCGCCUAAGCUUUGGUUGCAGAUAAUGAUGAAGAAAAGCUUUUGUAAACUCCUGUCAUACUGCUGGAGGGGCAUCAUCACCUCUAGACAAUUCCCAAGACUCAUACCAAUUAAUUGCAACAUCUAGGAGUCUAUAGGAAGCUAGCUCAACUGACUCAGUCACAGUGGCCUUUAAUACCCUUAACGUCCUCUGUAUUCUAUCAAUAAAUACCUGAGGGUCUGCUUUUGGAUCUUCCCCUGUGAAUACCGAUCACAUGAAGGAAGAUCCCUCCACCAGUCUAGCUAGAGUGAGGGUGUGCUAACCAUACCGAAUCUGGGGACCUCGUGCCUCAUUUUUUGCAAAACAAAGAGAGUUAGGCCCUUUCCCCCUCCAGUUUCAUCUAUUUAUACAAUAAUGAUUAGUAUAUUGGCACUUAUUUCUCCAAAUUAAUGCACAUAAUCGUGGUUACGUCCAUUGGGAUUAUGAAAAACCCAAUAGACUUUUGGACAACGCUUGUCUUAAAAGGUUAUUAUGUGGACAACAUAUUAACCAGGAUAGGUUUGACCAUGAUGCAUGCACAAUUUAAUCAGAGUAAGGUUGCUAUAGAGGUCUAUACUGGGACCCUCAAGCGGACAUCUCGAGGGGGAAAGGCACGGAACCAUCGAACGCACCGCUGAUCGACUAGUUUUACCGCAAAUAUGCCUUUCCGAAUUUAAAUGGUGAUAUAUAGGAAGAGCGCAAAAACUCAUCAAGCAUUGCUAUAGGAUUAAUUACGCACGAGUGAAGUAUGAUGUUGAGCAUGAUUUAUGCAGCAAUAAAUAACAUGUAGUCAAUUAUUUGCACGUAAGAAAAUAAUAAAUGCAGUAUUUAAAUAAAUCAAAAGACAGUUGCAGAAAAAGAAAAUAAGGAGACAAGUCAGUUUCAGGAAUAAAAGAAUCAUAAAUGCUUGAAAAUAGAUAGUUAAAUUCAAAUAAGGGAAAAUGGUAUGUGGGAUAUAGCAUGCUUGGACUAAUUCACAGAAGAUAAGUUCGUUAUGGUAAGAGCCUAAAACAUCCCCAGCAGAGUCGUCAUGCUGUCGCGCCCCCUUUUUCCCCUUUUUGACGAGGAAGUCCGUGUUUCGACAUUCAUGGGGGAAAUAACUCAUUUCCUUUUGGGAAAUUGGGUAUUUGAAAAGUCGUCACCUAACGGAUUAUGGUGCGUUAGGGCACCUUGAGCAAUUAACUCAUGGACUAGUUUGCAUUACCAGAGAUCUAGGGUAAGGGCUCGAAAUAAUCUUGAGGGGAAGGUGUUAGGCACCCCUCGCGAUCCACAACGGUGGGUCCCGGCCGAACUUAAACUAUGUGAAUUAGUCAUUUUAACAAAUAAACAGUUUUAACACGUACUUGCAAGUAAACGCAUGUUUUGAAAUUCUAAGCUCAUGUAUGAUUCAAGUAAUGGAACAAGGGAAAAGGUUCGAACAAGUUACACAUAUAUAAAGAAAGGAAAAUUUAUUUAAACUACCGGAGUUGGGAAAGAGGGGUCCUAGGUUGGUUGGCCUACAGGAUCAUACCCAUACAAUGCCCGGUAAGAACUCCUCAAUGAGGGGCUACACGUGACAUUAGCGUGUAGUCAUCAUAUCCUUACUACCUAAUUCCCUCCCCUUGGUUAUAGCUUAAAGCGUUAGCAACCUUGAAAGAUAUCUUAUGCGUUCACUACCCGUCCCUUCCUUGUGACCCUGAAGGUAUUUAGGACCUCUAAUUUAGGUAGUUGUAGACCAUCCUAAGGUAUUUAAAGGAGAAAAGUGUAAGCGUCAAUGAAAACAAUUAGGACUGCAUUAAAGAAGGAACAAUUAAAGGCUCACAUGUUUACCUCCCCAAACAGAACAAAUAAGUGCACGUCGCAAACAACAGUUUCAAGUAUUUAAGAGAAAACCUUAGAAAAUGAUAUAUAGAUGAGUAGAGAGUAUACACUAUUGAAUUAGGACCAAAGUGUCAAAGACCUAAAUCCUACUUGCCUACUGAUUCUUUUAAACCUGUUGAAUGUGAGCAGUCUCAAAUAACAAGGCGCGGUUUUAUAGUUUACAAGGUUUUAGUCGCCUUACAGGCUUGCCUAGACGCAUAAUAGUGAUAUCCUAGGAGCAUGAUAUCUAUUAUUGAUUAAGAAUGCAAUGAAACAACAAACAAUUUUUCUUUUAAAAUGGCAGUUUAGAUCCUAUAAGAAUGUUCUCUAGUAAUAUUAAUUAAGACAGCAUUGAAAACGUAUUAAAGGAGUGGACAGAUUAAUUAACAAAACCGAUUCAGAAUAAACAUGAAUUAAACUGAUUUUCUAGCUAAACUGGUUUUAAGUCCUAUAGGCAUGAUUUCUAAUUAAACAUAAUGUGAAGCAAGCUGAAUUCAUUUGAUCAAAGUGAAACCUCUACAGGCAUGAUUUCUAUUAAAGCUAAAUUUAACUCAUAUAGGCAUGGUAUCUAAUUAUUAAAAGCUGAUUUAGAUCCUAUAGGCAUGGUCCCUAUUAUUAAAGAGGAUUUAGAUCUUAUAGGCAUGGCUUCUAAUUGUGUGGAAGUAAGGUAAACAGAACUUAUUUAAACUAAAGCAGGUCCUAUAUGCAUAUUAUCUAACAUACACAUCUGAAUCAAUAAGUACCCUAUAGGCAUAGUAUUUACCCAAUUUUACCCACAAUAUAACUCUACCAACCCUUUUUACUAGUCACCCCACUGUUUGUUUACAAUAAUUAUUACAGACUAAUGAAUUGAAUAAAAAAAUUACAUAAAUAGAACAUAAAUUAAUCUAUAGGGAGCCUGAAGUAGGCCCAAAAUGAUUUCCAAGCCUCCACUAAUCUCAAAUGCCCAAAGUUUCAUAGUCAAUUUCAUGUCUAGGUGUGUUAGAGUUCCCUAAGGACCUCAAGGACCCCGGGCAGUGCUCACACCUAGACCUUUCUCAAAUAAUAACUGAUUUAGGUGCAGUGUGGAAGUACCAGCCCUGACAUGCCAAAGUUCAGAGAGAUCUCAAGGGUCUCAAGGCAGUACAUAUAUCAGAGGGGUAGGACCUAAUAUUCUAAGAGUAAUUGGAAGUGCAUAAUGGUUUGAAAGAGUUUAAUAGACAAUUUAAAGAAAUGUCUUAGGAUUGAAAAGAAUUUAUGAGAAUCAGUGCUGAUUUAAUUAUAAAACAGUUUGAGGAAGUGUAAAGAAAUAAUUUGCAAACAGUUUUUAGGAAGUACUUUGGCAAACAGCUUUCACACAAGGGAAGAGGGGUUAGGAACAUAGAGAGGACACCUUGGUGGAGCACACAAUCGAUAGGAUACAUAGAGCUUUUGAAGGGUUCUAUAGAACUAGUAGGUUAGAUAGAAUGCAAGUCAAGCAGCAAGGAUCACAUCAGAAACAUGUUUAGGACAUCAACACAACUAGAAUCACUCUACAGAGAUUAACUAACUUAGCAGAAGAGGGACAGAACAGGUAAGGACUUAAAUGAGCAUGCUAGGCAGGUAUUAACAAGUGAAGGCAUGCUAGUUACAUAGAAGCAGAGCUUAGGCAUGCCAGAUAAACCGUAUUUAAUCAAAUAGCUUAGUUACAUAUGUAGACAUGUUAAACAAAAUAGCAAACCAAACUUAAGCUAUGUGAAUUAAUCAUUUUAACAAAUAAAUAGUUUUAACACGUACUUGCAAAUAUAGGAAUAAUUUGACAUUCUAAGCUCAUGUAUGAUUCUGAGUAAUGGAACAAGGGAAAAGGUUUGAACAAGUUGCACAUAUAUAAAGAAGAGCAAAUUUAUUUAAACUACGGGAGUUGGGAAAGAGGGGUCCUAGGUUGGUAGGCCUACAGGAUCAUACCCACACAAUGCCCGGUAAUCACUCCUCAAUGAGGGGAUACACGUGGCAUUAGCGUGUAGUCAUCAUAUCCUUACUANNNNNNNNNNNNNNNNNNNNNNNNNAGCAACCUUGAAGAUAUCUUAUGCGUGCACUACCCGUCCCUUCAUUAUGGCCCUGGAGAUAUUUAGGACCUCUAAUUUAGGUAGUUGUAGACCAUCCUAAGGUAUUUAACGGAGAAAAGUCUAAGCGUCAAUCAAAACAAUUAGGACUGCAUUUAAAGAAGGAACAAUUAAGGGCUCACAUUUUUACCUCCCCAAAUAGAACAAAUAAGUGCACGUCUCAAACAACAGUUUCAGGUAUUUAAGAAAAACCUUAGAACAUGAUAUCUAGAUGAGUAGAGAGUAUAAAGUAUUGAAUUAGGACCAAAGUGUCAAAGACCUGAAUCCUACUUGCCUAUUGGUUCUUUUAAACCAGUUGAAUGUGAGCAGUCUCAAAUAACAAGGCGCAGUUUUAUAGUUUACAGGGUUUUAGUCGCCCUACAGGCUUUCCUAGACGCAUAACAGUGAUAUCCUAGGAGCAUGAUAUCUAUUAUUGAUUAAGAAUGCAAUGAAAUAGCAAACAAUUUUUCUUUUAAAAUGGCAGUUUAGAUCCUAUAGGAAUGUUCUCUAGAAAUAUUAAUUAAGACAGCGUUGAAAACUUAUAAAAGGAGUGGACAGAUUAAUUAACAAAACCGAUUCAGAAUAAACAUGAAUUAAACUGAUUUUUUAACUAAACUGGUUUUAAGUCCUAUAUGCAUGAUUUCUAAUUAAACAUAAUGUGAAGCAAGAAGAAUUCAUUUGACCAAAGUGAAACCCCUAUAAGCAUGAUUUCUAUUAAAGCUGAUUUUAACUCCUAGAGGCAUGGUACCUAAUUAUUAAAAGCUGAUUUAGAUCCUAUAGGCAUGGUCUCUAUUAUUAAAGCAGAUUUAGAUCCUAUAGGCAUGGCUUCUAAUUGUGUGGAAGUAAAUUAAACAGAACUUAUUUAAACCAAAGUAGGUCCUAUAGGCUAGUUAUCUAACAAAUACAUUUGAAUCAAUAAGGACCGUAUAGGCAUGCUGUCUACCCAAUUUUACCAAUAAUAUACAACUACCCUCCCUUUUUACUAGCCACCCUACUGUUUGUUUACAAUAAUUAUUAUAGACCAAUGAAUUUAAUAAAAAAAAUUACAUAAAUAGAACAGAAAUUAAUCUAUAGGGAGCCUGAAGUAGGCCUAAAAUGAUUUCCAAGCCUCCAGUAGUCUCAAAUGCCCAAAGUUCCAUAGCCAAUUUCAUGUUUAGGUGUGUCAGAGUUCCCUAAGGACCUCAAGGAUCCCGGACAGUGCUCACACCUAGACUUUUCUCAAAUAAUAACUAAUUUAGGUGCAGUGUGGAAGUGUCAGCCCUGACAUGCCAGAGUUCAGAGAGAUCUUAAGGGUCUCAAGGCAGUACACAUAUCAGAGGGGCAGAACCUAGUAUUCUAAGAGUAAGUGUAAAUGCAUAAUGGUUUGAAAGAGUUUAAUAGACAAUUUAAAGAAAGGUCUUAGGAUUGAAACGAAUUUAUGAGAACCAGUGCUGAUUUAGUGAUAAAAUAGUUUGAGGAAGUGUAAAGAAACAAUUUGCAAAUAGUUUUUAGGAAGUACUUUGGCAAACAACUUUCACACAAGGGAAGAAGGGUUAGUAACAUAGAGAGGACGCCUUAAUGGAGCACACAAUCGACAGGAUACAUAGAUCUUUCGAAGGGUUCUAUAAAACUAGUAGGUUAGAUAGAAUGCAAGUCAAGCAGCAAGGAUCACAGCAGAAACAUGUUUAGGACAUCAACACAACUAGAAUCACUCUACAGAGAUUAACUAACUUAGCAGGAGGGGGACAGAACAUGUAAGGAGUUAAAUGAGCAUGUUGCGCAGGUAUUAACAAGUGAAGGCAUGCUAGUUACAUAGAAGCAGAGUUUAGGCGUGCCAGAUAAACCGUAUUUAAUCAAACAGCUUAGUUACAUAUGUAGACAUGUUAAACAAAAUAGCAAACAGGCAGGUAAAGUGGAAACAUACUAAUCACAUGUUUGAAUAGGCAGUAUUGGGCAUGCUGGGUAAGCAGUAAAGAGAAGCAAGAAUGGACUCAGGCCAUAUGAACUAAGACAGUAAAUAAACACAAGGUUUUGAUUCUUAAAAUUAAUCAGAAGCAUACCUAGUUAAAGAAAGAAAACACAAUAUUUGAGCAAGGUAUUGUGCAAUUCCCAGCCUUGACUUGCAACCAGCUAGAAUAACAAGGAUCACAAGUCGCAAAGAGAGCAGAGAGAGAGCCUUUUAGAGUGUAAAAGUGGUAGUCUUUUGAAUUAUUGUUCGUGUUUUGAAGUUAAAAUAAGAGGGAGUUUAUAUAGUAAUCAAGAGUUAAACAAAAUAAGGUAAGGGAUCAAUUAAGUAGCAAUUAGGGAAAUUCACAAAAUCAGUCACACAUGUAAAAUCAGUAGGUCUUCCUCUUAAUCAGAGGAUAAUCAAUCAACGGUAAAAACAGGACAAGUAUUUAAGGAAGGGAAUCAAGUAGGACUUGGAUAUAUAGUAGGUAAGUAGGUGUGAAUGAACGAGAGUUCAAUUAAGGAAACGAUUGGCAAGAAAUCAGCACAUAAUAAAUAAGGCAAAAGAAAACUUAAUUAAGGCAAGAAGUUCAAUCAAAAUGAGUAAAGAAGUAAGAAUCAAAGGUUUUGUUAAGGAAAAUAGUUUCAAUCAAACCAAAAUAAGAACUUCAGAAUAGUCCAUGAUUUAAUUAAAAGAGAAAAUCACGUAAAGAGUCAGAAAAUAUCGCAGACAAUCCAAACAGGCCAGGAAGGAAUAGUCAGGGCUCAGCAUAUAGUUUUAAACGAAGUAAAUUGGUAAAUCAAAAUUCAAAACAACCCUGAUUUAAGGAGAAAAAUAUAGUCUUAACAUGAACAGUCAGAAUGAACAUAAACAUAUAGAAUCAGUAGAAAAGUUGAACUAAGAAACUCAGUAGAGGCAUAUUAAGAUAAGAAAACCACGAGACAUCUAAAUGUCUAAAGAAAAAUCACAAGAACUAAGGCAAGAACAAAGUCAGUACACAAGUACUCAGAAACCAAACAAAGAAUGUCGAAAAAAUUAGGGCUUCUAGUAUAAACAAGUUAGGGUUAGGGAAAACCUAAUGAAAUCGAUUAGAACAUAUAGGAAACAGAAGAUUAAACACUCAAAAUUACCAAAUGUUUUGGAAGAAAAAAUUUUCGGAAACCCUAGUUUAGAGAGAAAUGAAAAAUCAUUCGAAAAUCAAACGGUUCUUGUAAAAAUCAAAAGAUUCUUGUAAAACUCAUAUGAAAUAGGCCCAAAUCAUCUCAGAUCUGUACAGAUCUAAGAAGUUCAGAAGAAAGAAAUUAGGGUUUCGACAAGAACAAUCACAAAGAUGAAGAAGCAAUCCUAGAAACCCAUUGAUAUAGGAAGAUCUUACUCGAAAUCAAACCGGGACAGCCUGAAAUAGGCGAGAAAUGGCCAUAGAGGCAAGCAAACUAACCCUGGUCCCUUGAGGACCCUGGAGAUGGUGAUACCACUACAAGAGAGGCCAUUAGAGGCCUGGGGGUGGUGAGAAACCACCAUAGAUAGCCAUAUAUGAGUGACAGCGAGGUCUAAUUAGGGUUAGGUUAGAGAGCAUUUGAGAGAGGAGAGGAUUUGGUGAUGGCGUGAGAGGUGAGGGAAAUGGGAGGGUUUUUGGGGGGCCAUUAGGUUUAAUUUAGGUAAGGGUUAAUCUGGACCAUUGGUCACAAUGAUCGACGGCCAAGAUUUUCCCAGGUAUUGGGUUGGGGCAGAGGGGUAUUGGACUGGGUAUAUUUUGGGUUUAAAAAUGGGCUGAGUGUUAGGUCCAAUUUUGGAUUAGCAUUGAAUGUAAAAUAGGGCCAGAUUUUAAAUAGCUAAUUUUAAUAACUAAAUAAUUUAUAAAAAUAAUAAAUGAGUUCCAAAAAUAUAUUUGUGUACUAAAAUGAUUUAAAGUAGUUAUUUAAUAUUUUUAAAAAUAUAAAAGAUUAUUUUAUGCAUAAAUAAUGUAAUUAUACAUUAGUAUGGGCUAUUAUUGCAAAGAUGUGCAAUUUAGCCUAAAAAUGUAAAUGCAAUUAUAAAAAUGCACUAAAAAUAUUUAAACACUAUGUUGGCAUAAAUAAUGAAUUUAAAUGGAUAAAUCAACGCGAAAGAUAAUUAUUGGAUAUUUAUGUAAUAAAAAGAGAAGAAAUAAAUUGAUUUGGAGCUUUUUUUUAAAAUUAUGGAAAAAUUAUAAAACAUAUUUAUGUAUGCUUAUAACUGCAUAUGUGCUAUUUUGAAAGUAUAUAUAUGUUCAAAAUAUGUGAGAAAAAAUUGGGUAUCAACAUCUGCCCCUCUUUACCCAGGAAGGAUGGAAGAGUUUUCGGGUAAAGAAAUGAUGACCAAUUUUGACCAAAUGGGGUGUUUUUGAAAGAUAAAGGCCGGACUCUGGUCUUGAGUUGCCUACAUAUCCCUGGUUUUAUAGGAAUCAGGCCAUGUGUAGUUCUAGAUUCAUUGGUGAAAUAUACUGAUGAAGUCAUUGCAAGAACGGACACGAGAUGCAAGAGCGGUUGUGGUGAACGGUUAGGUUUGAGGUAAUUUGAAGGAACUGGAGCGAGGUCGCUCCUGCUAGGAUAGCAGUUGCUUGCUAUUCACCUACAGAUAAAGAGAUGCUACAGACAUGUAUUUGUACGGAAAUUUAAACAUGAUGCAGAUUCCCUUUGGACCAUGAUAGUUGUCUUUGGACGGUUAAGGAUGAUGUCCCCAGACCAUGAUGUCCUAGGCCAUGAAUUGUUUAGUGAGGGAUUUGUAAGCCAUGAAAUGGUGUUCUCGAGCCAUGCAGAUGGUGCCUCCGAACCAUGACGCCUUUGAAUAAUGAUAUGCAAAUUUGAGGGAUUCUCAGGCGAUGGCAUGAUGUCUUCCGGCUAUGAGGAUGAUGACUUUUAGACUAUGAAACCCUUGGAUAGAUUGGUGAUAUUUCAUCCCAUGAGAUGCAAUAAUACGAUGCUACCAAUACAAGGCUUAGUCUUGUGAAAUGCAGGGCAGGGCUUAGCCCGAUCGCAAAACAAACAGAUAGUACCAGAAUAGAGCAAUAUUUAUGUAAGGAUGGACCAUGCUUUGUCCCGUGCAAAUGUGGAGGCAAAGAUUAGCCUCAUGCAAAUGUGGAGGCAGAGAUUAGCCUCAUACAAAUAUGGAGGCAGGGAUUAGCCUCAUGCAAAUAUGGAGGCAAGAAUUAGCCUCAUGCAAGUAUAGCGACAGGGAUUAGCCUUAUGCAGGUAUGGAGGUAGGGAUUAACCUCAUGCAGGUGUAGAGGCAAGGAUUAGCCUCAUGCAGAUAUAGAGGCAAGGAUUAGCCUCAUGCAGACAUGGAGGCAGGGAUUAGCCUCAUGCAGAUGUGGAGGCAGGGAUUAGCCUCAUGUAGAUAUGGAGGCAAGGAUUAGCCUCAUUCAAAUAUGGAGGCAGGGAUUAGCCUCAUGCAAGAUACAGAGGCAAUGAUUAGCCUCAUGCAAAUAUAGAGGCAAGGAUUAGCCUCAUGAGGAUAUGGAGGCAAAGAUUAGCCUCAUGCAAGAUAUGGAGGCAAGGAUUAGCCUUAUGCAAGAUAUGGAGGCAGGGAUUAGCCUCAUGCAAGAUAUAGAGGCAAUGAUUAGCCUCAUGCAAGUAUAGAGACAGGGAUUAGCCUCAUGCAAGUAGGGAGGCAAAGAUUAGCCUUAUGUACAUAUGGAGGCAAGGAUUAGCCUCAUGCAAAUAUGGAGGCAGGGAUUAGCCUCAUGCAAGUAUGGAGGCAGGGAUUAGCCUUAUGCAGAUAUGGAGGAAAGAAUUAGCCUCAUGCAAGUGUGGAGGCAAGGAUUAGCCUCAUGAAAAUAUGGAAGCAAGGAUUAGGGUAAAAUUAUGGGAUGUGAGAAAUGAAAGGAAACAAAAAAGUGAUAACUAGAGAAAAAAAAGGGAAGGAAAAUGAGCAAGCCAAGAAGUGCUAGAAAAGAAAGAAAAGAGAAGAUUGAAAUGAACAAAAUUGGGAUGAUGCCAAGUGACCUUGUUACCCUAGAAGUCAUUCUAGAACCGUUAAUUGUUGCUAGGUGCAUUGCACGCAAUGUGAUAUUUUAGCUGUUAAAUGCCCUAAUGCUAACAGGAUGUCCCCAUUCUGUUCCUUUUGUUAUCUUCAUUGAGCAGAAGGGUGGUUGGUUUGUGGUUUAAGUAACUCGUCCAUACAACACAAGGUCAAAGAGCAAGGUAGCCAUGUCUAGCAAAGAUUUGGAUAUAGGGGUUAUUGAUCUGUCUAAGGGAAUUAUUGAAUCAAAAUUUGAGUUGAAAGAAGAGGUAUUAAGGUUGAAAGGACAGAUGGCCGAAAUAUACCAAGCCUGGAUUAGUGGGCGUCCCCCCACCAUCAGUUCCCACUAACUACACUGAAAGCCUUGUCACCAUUCCGCCACUGUCACUAGUCCAAGAUAUCUCCCCACAACCUUUUCACACACAGUUAAAUUCAAAUAAGGGGAAAGGGUACGUGGGAUAGAGCAUGCUUGGACUAAUUCACAGAAGAUAAGUUUAUUAUGGUAAGAGCCUAAAAUAUCCCCAGUAGAGUCUCAAUGCUGUCGGUCCCUCUUUUUUCCCUUUUUUGACGGAGAAGUCCGGGUUUCGACAUUCAUGGGGGAAAUAACUUGUUUCCUUUUGGGAAUUAGGUAUUUGAAAAGUCGCCACCUAACGGAUUAUAGUGCAUUAGGGCACCUUGAGCAAUUAACUCAUCGACUAGUUUGCAUUACCAGAGAUCUAGGGUAAGGGCUCGAAAUAACCUUGAGGGGAAUGUGUUAGUCACCCCUCGCGGUCCACAACGGUGGGUCCCAACCAAACUUAAACUAUGUGAAUUAGUUAUUUUAACAAAUAAACAGUUUUAAUAUGUACUUGCAAGUAUAGGAAUAUUUUGACAUUCUAAGCUCAUGUAUGAUUCAAGUAAUGGAACAAGGGAAAAGGUUCGAACAAGUUGCACAUAUAUAAAGAAGAGCAAAUUUAUUUAAACUACGGGAGUUGGGAAAGAGGGGUCCUAGGUUGGUUGGCCUACAGGAUCAUACCCACACAAUGUCCGAUAAUCACUCCUCAAUGAGUGGCUACACGUGACAUUAGCACGUAAUCAUCAUAUCCUUACUACCCAGUUCCCUUCCGUUGGUCAUAGCCUAAAGCGUUCUAGCAGCCUUGAAAGAUAUCCUAUGCGUGCACUACCCGUCCCUUCAUUAUGGCCUUGAAGGUAUUUAGGACCUCUAAUUUAGGUAGUUGUAGGCCAUCCUAAGGUAUUUAAAGGAGAAAAGUCAAAGCGUCAAUCAAAAAAAAUAGGACUACAUUUAAAGAGGGAACAAUUAAAGGCUCACAUUUUUACCUCCCCAAACAGAACAAAUAAGUGCACGUCUCAAACAACAGUUUCAGGUAUUUAAGAAAAACCUUAGAACAUGAUAUCUAGAUGAGUAGAGAGUAUACAGUAUUGAAUUAGGACCAAAGUGUCAAAGACCUGAAUCCUACUUGCCUACUGAUUCUUUUAAACCUAUUGAAUGUGAGCAGUCUCAAAUUACAAGGCGCAGUUUUAUAGUUUACAGGGUUUUAGUCACCCUACAGGCUUGCCUAGACGCAUAAUAGUGAUAUCCUAGGAGCAUGAUAUCUAUUAUUGAUUAAGAAUGCAAUGAAACAACAAACAGUUUUUGUUUUAAAACGGCAGUUUAGAUCCUAUAGGAAUGUUCUCUAGUAAUAUUAAUUAAGACAACGUUGAAAACUUAUUAAAGGAGUAGACAAAUAAAUUAACUAAACCAAUUCAGAAUAACCAUGAAUUAAACUGAUUUUCUAACUAAACUGGUUUUAAGUCUUAUAGGCAUGAUUUCUAAUUAAACAUAAUGUGAAACAAGCAAAAUUCAUUUGACCAAAGUGAAACCCCUAUAGGCAUGAUUUCUAUUAAAGCUGAUUUUAACUAUUAUAGGUAUGGUACCUAAUUAUUAAAAGCUGAUUUAGAUCCUAUAGACAUGGUCUCUAUUAUUAAAGCGGAUUUAGAUCCUAUAGGCAUGACUUCUAAUUGUAUGGAAGUAAAGCAAACAGAACUUAUUUAAACCAAAGUAGGUCCUAUAGGCUAGUUAUCUAACAAACACAUUUGAAUCAAUAAGGACCCUAUAGGAAUGAUAUCUACCCAAUUUUAUCCACAAUAUACAACUACCCUCCCUUUUUACUAAUCACCCUACUGUUUCUUUACAAUAAUUAUUACAGACCAAUGAAUUGAAUAAAAAAGUUACAUAAAUAGAAAAAUUAAUCUUUAGGGAGCCUGAAGUAGGCCUACAAUGAUUGCCAAGCUUCCAAUAGUCUCAAAUGCCCCAAGAUCCAUACAGCCAAUUUCAUGUCUAGGUGUGUUAGAGUGCCCUAAGGACCGCAAGGAUCCCGGACAGUGCUCAUACCUAGACCUUUCUCAAAUCAUAACUAAUUUAGGUGCAGUGUGGAAGUACCAGCCCUGACAUGCUAGAGUUCAGAGAGAUCUCAAGGGUCUCAAGGCAGUACACAUAUCAGAGGGGCAGAACCUAGUAUUCUAAGAGUAAGUGGAAAUGCAUAAUGGUUUGAAAGAGUUUAAUAGACAGUUUAAAGAAAGGUCUUAGGAUUGAAAAGAAUUUCUAAGAACCAGUGCUGAUUUAGUGAUAAAACAAUUUGAGGAAGUGUAAAGAAACAAUUUACAAACAGUUUUUAGGAAGUACUUUGACAAACGGCUUUCACACAAGGGAAUAGGGGUUAGGAACAUAGAGAGGAGACCUUGAUGGAGCAUACAAUCGAUAGGAUACAUAGAGCUUUUGAAGUGUCCUAUAGAACUAGUAGGUUAGAUAGAAUGCAAGUCAAGCAGCAAGGAUUAAAUGAGCAUGUUGGGCAGGUAUUAACAAGUGAAGCAUGCUAGUUACAUAGAAGCAGAGUUUAGGCAUGCCAGAUAAACCGUAUUUAAUCAAACAGCUUAGUUACAUAUGUAGACAUGUUAAACAAAAUAGCAAACAGGCAGGUAAAGUGGAAACAUACUAAUCACAGGUUUGAAUAGGCAGUAUUAGGCAUGCUGGGUAAGAAGUAAAUAGAAGAAAGAAUGGACUCAAGCCAUAUGAACUAAGACAGUAAAUAAACACAUAGGUUUUGAUUCUUAAAAUUAAUCAGAAGCAUACCUAGUUAAAGAAAGAAAACACAAGAUGUGAGCAAGGUAUUGUGCAAUUCCCAGCAUUGGCUUGUAGCCGGCUAGAAUAUCAGGGAUCACAAGUAGCAAAAAGAUCAGGGAGAGAGCCUUUUAGAUUGUAAAGUUGUAGUCUUUUAAACUAUUGUUCGCGUUUUGAAGUUAAAAUAAGAAGGCGUUUAUAUAAUAAUCAAGAGUUAAACAAAAUAAGGUAAGGGAUAAAUUAAGUAGCAAUUAGGAAAAUUCACAGAAUCAGUCACACACAUAAAAUCAGUGGGUCUUCCCCUUAAUCAGGUGAUAAUCAAUCAACAGUAAAAGCAGGACUGGUAUUUAAGGAAGGGAAUCAAGUAGGACUAAGGUAUAGAGUAGGUAAGUAGGUGUGAAUGAACGAGAGUUCAAUUAAGGAAACGAUUGGCAAGAAAUCAGCACAUAACAAAUAAGGCAAGAGAAAACAUAAUUAAGGCAAGAAGUUCAAUCAAAAUGAGUAAAGAAGUAAUAAUCAAAGGUUUUGUUAAGGAAAAUAGUUUCAAUCAAACCAAAAUAAGAACUUCAGAAUAGUCCAGGAUUUAAUUAAAAGAGAAAAUCACGUAAAGAGUCAGAAAAUAUCGCAGACAAUCCAAACAGGCCAGGAAGGAAUAGUCAGAGCUCAGCAUAUAGUUUUAAACGAAGCAAAUUGGUAAAUCAAAAUUCAAAACAACCCUGAUUUAAGGAGAAAAAUAUAGUCUUAACAUGAAUAGUCAGAAUGAACAUAAACAUAUAGAAUUAGUAGAAAAGUUGAACUAAGAAACUCAGUAGAGGCAUAUUAAGAUAAGAAAACCACAAGACAUCUAAAUGGCUAAAGAAAAAUCACAAGAACCAAGGCAAGAACAAAGUCAGUACACAAGUACUCAGAAACCAAACAAAGAAUGUCGAAAAAAUUAGGGCUUUUAGUAUAAACAAGUUAGGGUUAGGGCAAACCUAAUGAAAUCGGUUAGAACAUAUAGGAAACAAAAGAUUAAACACUUAAAAUUACCAAAUGUUUUGGAAUAAGAAAUUUCUGGCAACUUAGUUUAGAGAGAAAUGAAAAAUCAUUCGAAAAUCAGACGGUUCUUGUAAAAAUCAAAAGCUUUUUGUAAAACUCAUAUGAAAUAGGUCCAAACCAUCUCAGAUCUGUACAGAUCUAAGAAGUUCAGAAGAAAGAAAUUAGGGUUUCGAGAAGAACAAUCACAAAGAUGAAGAAGCAAGCCUAGAAACCCAUAGAUAUAGGAAGAUCUUACUCGGAAUCAAACCGGGACAGCCUGAACAGGCUAGAAAUGGCCAUAGAUGCAAGCGAACUAACCCUGGUCCCUUGAGGACCCUAGAGAUGGUGAUACUAGUACAAGAGAGGCCAUUAGCGGCCCGGGGUGGUGAGAAACCACCAUAGAUAGCCAUAGAUGAGUGACGGCGAGGUCCGAUUAGGGUUAGGUUUGAGAGCAUUUGAGAGAGGAGAUGAUUAGGUGAUGACGUGAGAGAUGAGGGAAAUGAGAGGGUUUUGGGGGGGUCAUUAGGUUUAAUUUAUGUAAGGGUUAAUCUGGACCGUUGAUCACAAUGAUCAACGGCCAAGAUUUGCCCGGGUAUUGGGUUGGGGCAGAUGGGUAUUGGGCUGGGUAUAUUUUGGUUUUAAAAAUGGGAUGAGUGUUGGGUCCAAUUUAGGAUUAGCAUUGAAUGUAAAAUAGGGCCAGAUUUUAAAUAGUCAAUUUUAAUAACUAAAUAAUUUAUAAAAAUAAUAACUGAGUACCAAAAAUAUUUUUAUGUACUAAAAUGAUUUAAAAUAAUUAUUUAAUAUUUUAAAAAUAUAAAAAAUCAUUUUAUGCAUAAAAUAAUGUAAUUAUACAUUAGUAUGUGCUAUUAUUGCAAAGAUGUGCAAUAUAGCCUAAACAAUAUAAAUACAAUUAUAAAAAUGCACUAAAAAUAUUUAAACACUAUGUUGGCAUAAAUAAUGAAUUUAAAUGGCUAAAUCAUCACGAAGGAUAAUUAUUGGAUAUUUAUGUAAUAAAAAGAGAAGAAAUAAAUUGAUUUGGAGCUUUUUUUUUAAUUAUGGAAAAAUUAUAAAAAUACUUAUGCAUGCUUAUAACUGCAUAUGUGCUAUUUUGAAAGUAUAUAUAUGUUUAAAAUAUGUGAGGAUAAAUUGGGUAUCAACAGGCGUCAGUACGAAAAAUGUAUUGAGUAUGUAAGGCAUGAAAAUCAAUACGUAAAAGACAUAGAUGAAACAUAGAAUAAAAAAUCCAUCUGUAAAUCUGAACAACUUUGUAAAUUCUGAAAUGUUUAUAAUGUCAUGCAUGCGUAUAUAAAUGUCGUGUUAUUCAUAGGUAUAUGUGGACAUAAUAUCAUCAGCCUCUGAGGGCAUCCCAUCAUAUCGUCUCGGCUACUGUGGGCAACGUCAUCAACAUAUACCAACUGAUCAGGUGAUGGUGCGUAUAUAACGCCGUAACCUUUUUCCCAUAUCCCAUAUAAAUAUAAUAUACAUAUAUACGCGUAUAUAACGCCAUCUGAUCAUGGGUCAAUGUACAUGUAUAAAUGCAUGAAAUGCAUAAGAAAUACGUUAUAAGAUUUUCUCAGAAUGCCGUAAAACUCAAUAUGCCUUUCGGAUAAACUUUAUCAAAUAUGCUUUUCUUUAGACCCAUGAAUAGACAAUAGAAUAAUAAGAUUUAUGGGAGAAUAAGAAUAUAUACAUCUCUAGCAUUUCUACAAAUAGAGUAAUUUAUGAAAGUUGUGCAUUUGCUCGUUUUGUUUGUGUCGUAUUGAUCAUGCCAAAAAGAAAGAAGGGAUAACCUUAACAUACUUGAGUCGAUUCUCUUGAGAAAUAUUACACCGUAAUCUUUUAAUAUUGUAAAAUCUCACGUUAAUUUGAAUUUUUGAAAGCUUGGGCGUAGCUUAUGUGAUAUGCAAUAUACAUUUGCAUAUUACAAAUGCUUUAACAUGAUUUCUUUGUUAGAAAGGCUUGCUAUACUUGAAGAACAAUUUCCCUAAAUCUUGAUGAACCCUUUCAGAAGAGGUGUAGGGAAUGAUUUCAAUAUUUUGAGAUUGUUAUUUUAUUUAGGUAGGCCCCUCAUUGAAAUCGUAGUGUCACUUUAAGGUGUGACAUCUUAUCCAUCUUUAUUAUUAGUCAUUUAGAAAGUUUAGACAAGCUUGCCACGUUGGAGGGGGGAGGGGGUUUAAUCAUUAUCCACUAAAUUUAUUAAUUAACUAGGUAAUGUUCUGUUACCCUGUAAUUAAUCAAUUACCCAUAUAAUUAAGAAUUAUCUCAAAUUACCAACAAUUAAUACUCAUUUUUAAUAUACUUUAUAUAUCAUACUAUCACGGUCAUAUGGUACCUUGUAUGGUACUAGUCCAUAAAUAUCGGGUAUUAUCGCUCGACCCAUAUUUUAUCCCAAAUCGGCAACCUUCAACGAAACUCAUUUUCUUUGAUUCGUGUACCCUUUAUCCUUUAUGGCACUUACUUAUCGCUUGUUAAAAAUAGCAUAAAUACGUUAACCUCAAGGUAAUCUUAUCCUCGAGUCUAUGUCGAUUAACUGAAGAUGAUACUUUAACGUACGAAAUGCGAGUGUAACAAUACCACCGUAGAGUUUCCGGCGAUUUAUUUAGUGCCAGUAGUCCGAGAGUUCACCGAUGUGUUUCCUUCUGAUCUUCUUGGCAUGCCACCAGAUCAUGACAUUGAUUUUUAUAUUGAUUUGGCUCCAGGUACCCAGCCUAUAUCCAUCCCACCGUACCGUAUGGCUCCAAAAGAGUUAAAGGAGUUGAAGGAGCAACUUGAGGAGUUGUUAGCAAAGGUGUUUGUCAGAUCAAUUGUAUCACCUUGGGGUGUACCAGUGUUAUUUAUGAAGAAGAAAGAUGGGACUAUGAGGAUGUGCAUUAAUUACCGCCAGUUGAACAAAGUUACCAUCAAGAACAAGUACCCGUUGUCGCGUAUCGAUGAUUUGUUUGACUAGUUGCAGGGUGUCACACCUCCUUUUUAUAUGAGGGGGAUAGAGAGUUUUUCCAAUUAAAGUGACAUUAAUCGAAAUAGGAUUAUUNNNNNNNNNNNNNNNNNNNNCGAGAGAAGGUGUUAGACAUUUUCGGGUUUCGUGGUUUUAGGACGAUCGCUCAACUAUUAAUAAUUGGCCUAAUUAUCUGAUUUAUUACAUGUUUUAAACCUAUUGUGCAAUUUUAAUUUUAUAACAGCUUUUAUUUAUUUAUGGAGUUUGUUUGAACAAGUUGCGAUGUCGCACACUUAUUUGUUUUUGUACACAUUGCGAAUCGCGUCACGAGAACCGUACCCACGAUCUUCAAUAUAUUUAUUUUAUUAUUGUUCGAAGUUAUGGUUGGGUCAUAUGCAAUGCGCACCCGAAUUGGGGAUUAUUUAUCAAGAGUAUACCACGAGAACUGUACCCAUAGCCGUGAUGAUUUAAUUACGCGACUAAAGCAAGUUAUGUUGUUUAUGGGGUUGUGUAACGACCCGACUGGUCGUUUUUCUUUUUAGAACCCUGUACCCCUAAAUAAGACUUCCCGCGCUUACUUUAACUAAUUUACGACUAGCGAGGAUAGUUGGUUCGGGAUUUGGAAGAGUUUGGGUUGAAAUAGGCACACUUGAUUCCCCAAGAUUUUCUUAAAAGACUAAGUUUGACUUUGGUCAACAUUUCUAGUAAAUGGAUCGUGACUUGUGUUUUGACAGCCCCGGAGUGUCUGUAGGAAAAUAUGGGACCUGGGCGUAUGCCCGGAAUCGAAUUCUGAGGUCCCUAGCCCGAGUAAAGAAUUUUUGUUAGAAAUUGUUAAACUGAAAUUCUAAGGAUUUAAUGAAAUUGAAUAAUGCUUGAUCAUGUCGGUAUCAGGCUCGUAUGAUGGUUCGGGAGCUCGUUAUAGGUCCAAUAUAACGUUUAAGACUUACACGCAAAAUUUGGUAUCAAUCCGAGUAGUAUAAGUAUGUUUCGGCGCGUUAGAAGUGAAUUGAAGAACUUGAAGUUCAUAAAUUUGAUUCAAUUGGUUUUAGGGGUGAUUCUUAGAUUUAGCGUUGUUUCGGGCAUUCCAAGGGUUCAAGCGAGUCCAUUUUAUGAUUUUAAACUUUUUGGUAUGUUCGGACAAGGCCUGAGGGGCCCGAGCGUCAAUUGGAAGAGGCCCGAGUGAAGUUGGAAAAUUGGCAAGGAGCGGAAGCUCCAGCUAUCUGUCAUAACCGCACCUGCGGUUGGUCAGCUGCAGGUGCGAGACCACAGGUGUGGUCGACUCAUCGCAGCAGUGUCCAAGGGGAGGAGCCCAGGAACCGCAGAUGCGGCUCCUGCUCCACAGAGGCGGCUGCGCAGGAGCGACUCCAAUACCGCAGAAGCGGUCCCAGCUCCCCUGGCCCAAUUCCUCAUAUGCGGACCCCCUCUCGCAGAAGCGAGACCGCAAAUGUUGUCCCCUAACCGCAGGUGCGGAACUCGCUGAAGGCAGUGCCUUAAUUUAAUAUGGGAAUGUGUCAUUUUUGACACAUUUCCACCAUUGUUUGGGCGAUUUGGGAGCUUCCAAAGAGAGAUAUUCCACCUUGCAUCUUGAGGUUAGUUCAUCCUACUUAUUUCUAGUUUAAUACUUGAACCUUGGGUAGAUAACACAAAGAUUAAGGAAAAAUCAUGGGGUAAGAGCAAAACCUAGGGUUUUGAUAAAAGUUAGAUUUAACCACGAAAUUUGUUAUGGAAUGAAGUAGAAAUCAUAUAUUAUUAAUCCUUAGGUUAUAAAGAACAGCAUUCUUCGAAAAAUUUCGGAAUCCGGGCGGGUGGGUUCAAGGACGGAUUUUAGGAAACUUGUGCUUAGGGUUGGGAAAUUACGUUAAUAUUUAGAAUGCGAUCUUAUGAGCUUAUAUUAACUAGUUCCUACCUCAUCGAAUUAGUUUUGGAUUGUUCGGCUCCAAAAUUGAGGGUUUGAGCACGUUCUCGGUAUUGGAAGUAUGCUUUGAAGCGAGGUAAGUCUCCUUUAUAACCUUGUAGGAAGGAAUUGUCACCUUAGGUGAAAUAAUUGAAUAAAUUGCCACUAAAUGCGGGGCUACGCACGCACUAGGUGACGAGAGUCCGUGCGUAGCUACUAUUAUGUUAAUUGUUCGGGUAGUUUAGGACCCGUAUCAUGCCAUAUUUGUGAAUGUUUAUAUCCUUUUAUGCUAAUGAGAUCACUUAGGAUAUGCUAGAGACUUGGGAAAAGAACAUAUGUGAACAUAUACACUUGCUUGAACACUUGUGUGAAUUUAUUUGAAUAUAAAUGCACAUUUGUGUACUUUCUUGAUGAUAAUUGAUAUUUGUGGAUUAGGCCAAUCGCUUCGGUAGAAAUAGAUGCAUCUAUGGUUCGCGCCAUUCGAUCCUCUAGCGGUGCACAGUUUCUUUUCUGUUGGACCGGGCCGUACGACCUCGACAUAAUGUGUGCAUGAUAUCAAUGUAAAACCUUAUUCAUGACUUACUUUGUUAAAUGCUCUGAAAUGCAAAUGGCUAACUGUGAUAUUAUCUAGGAUAUGGCUCAUCAGUUCUUGCUAUAAAUUGUUAUUUAUUUGUGACAUUCAUGCUUAGCAUAAUACUUUCUUAUAUUAUUUGACCCUAGUAAAUAUCAAGUCGACCUCUCGUCUCUACUUCUUCAAGAUUAGACGGGAUACUUACUGGGUACAUAUUAUUUAUGUACUCAUACUACACUCUGUACUUAAUUGUACAGGAACUGAGGUAGGUACAUCUGGCUACGAGUCUGGUGCGCGUUCUUGAUCGUAGUCCAAAACUUCCAGGGUGAGCUGCUCCCUUUCUAUGCCAUUCAAUGGCAUGAUGGAGUCUCUCUAUACUUUUGGCUGUCUAUUCUAUUCCAAACAUUAUGAUAGAAUUAUUUUUUGUAUAUUCUACUAGUUGUCCACAUACUUGUGACAUCAGGUUUUGGCACACACGUUGGUAGACUAUUCUUUUGGGGUUGUAUAAUUAUUAUUGUACGUUACUAAUUAUCACUUGAUUUAAAUUCAAAUUAAGAAAUUGUUGCAACUGUUUUAGUAAAGUAAACGUAGAAUUAUUACUAUUUCCGUGUUGGCUUACCUGACAAUGGUGUUGGGCGUCAUCACGACCUAUAGUGAACUUGGGUUGUGACAGGUUGUCACAUGAGAUCUCCGGCAUAACACACACAACUACCAGUGGCUGCCUAUAACUUAUCGAGAUUAAAUCAUAUUCAAUGAUACACGGUCAUUACCCAGAAUUGGCCACAGACUUCAAUUAAGGAAAUCAACUGUUAAAAAGAAACACUGAUAGCCCCAUUACUCUCGACUUGUCCUUCUGAAUGCUUACACCAGUAGUUUUUAUUUCAUUAAUCUCAAAUAAGCAUUCUAAUUUGUUAUCCUGCAACAGAUUGCAUUCACCUUUGUAUAUGAACUUCAAAAAUCCAUUAAUAACAUAACUAACCCAAUUAAUAUUAUUAUCAACUCCUUACAAUAUGCCAAUUUUCCAAUAAAAAUCACGCCACUCCAUGGCCCAAAACAAUUGAAUAAACCAAACUUACUGCAUUUUACACUUUGAACCAAAUGGCCUAAGUACGGUGAUAAGCUUCAACCCAGUUAACAAUCCUUCUAACUCUUAAUUUCCAGCUUUACAAAUUAGUUUAAACUCAAAUAAAGUGCAGUCCAGUGAGAUGGAAAAUACCCGCUUACUUUUGUCAAUCAGCGAUUUGCUCAAUUAAUAAAAGAUUGUCUUGUUCACUCUAAGCAAUUAAACUCAAUGUAAUUACCAGACAAUCUAUCCAAUAAUCAAAAAUCGACAUAUUCAUAGAAAGUAUGCCCAACAAAACUUCACAUACAUAUAAGAUUAAAAGGAAGCAAUAAAUGGGGGAAGAAUUUGGACCUUUAUUUCUGCAUAAUUUGCACCAUGUAUUGUGAAAUAAGAUCUCUGAAAUAACAAAUCGAAGCUAACGAGCUACUGACCCGCACCUCGACCCGAAAAACUCGAACGCUCCUUCACUUUAGCGAUGAUUUCGGGACUGAUUUUUGCACUUAUUUUUAAGUUGUUUUAAUGGGUUUUGAGCUGAUUUUGGGAUGGAAUUGAAGCUCUUUUCGCUGGUUUUCAUGGCUAUUCGGAACUCGUUAAUGGACUAUUUUUGUGCAUAUUUUUGGGGCUAUUUUUAGGCUCCUUUUGGACUGUUUUUCGGUUGGUUAUUGGCUCUAUUUGAGGGCUGUUUUGUAGCCUUUUUGGGCUGGAUUUAAGGAGUAAUUUAAGCUUAUUUUUGUGGGUGUUUAGGGGUGUUUUCGGGCUGAACUUUGGCUGAAAGUUUCCUAGUCUUUGGCAUGAGAAAACAGAGGUGCUUUCUUGACUGAAAUCGCUGUCUAUUUAGCUAUGUUUCAUGGUGUUUGAAAACUGAGAUCUGGAGGAAAAUGAAUGAGGUGUUUGAUCACUGAUUUUGGGGGUGGGUGUUAAUGGAGGUUUGAUGCGUUUUUUUACUUGGGGAAGAAGGAGGUUCCAUUUUUUUAUUCUUUCUGAUCUUCCCCUUUUCCUCUCUCGCCAGAUCUAUU